rnacentral:rRNA from 1 species
AAUCCAUAGGUUAAUGAGGCGAACCGGGGGAACUGAAACAUCUAAGUACCCCGAGGAAAAGAAAUCAACCGAGAUUCCCCCAGUAGCGGCGAGCGAACGGGGAGGAGCCCAGAGCCUGAAUCAGCAUGUGUGUUAGUGGAAGCGUCUGGAAAGGCGCGCGAUACAGGGUGACAGCCCCGUACACAAAAGCGCAUGUGCUGUGAGCUCGAUGAGUAGGGCGGGACACGUGGUAUCCUGUCUGAAUAUGGGGGGACCAUCCUCCAAGGCUAAAUACUCCUGACUGACCGAUAGUGAACCAGUACCGUGAGGGAAAGGCGAAAAGAACCCCGGCGAGGGGAGUGAAAAAGAACCUGAAACCGUGUACGUACAAGCAGUGGGAGCCCCACCACCAAAGCAUUUGCUGUACCGCGUUGACGGAGCGAAGCGACGUCAAACCGAUAAAACAGCAGUGUAAAGUGAGCCGCAGGGCGCUUUGCGCGACAGCGCAAAGGCAGGCGGUUUCGCGUAGCGAAAGCGAAUGCUUUGGGGUGGGGUGACUGCGUACCUUUUGUAUAAUGGGUCAGCGACUUAUAUUCUGUAGCAAGGUUAACCGAAUAGGGGAGCC